AACCACCCCUCUAGCCCAAUCAAUAUUUACAAAACACCAUCCACACCCAACCAAAACAUUCUAUUAUUCCUAGUAUAGGCGAUAGAAAGGAACCUACCAUCCCAGGCGCCAUAGAGAACACGUACCGUAAGGGAAAGAUGAAAUAGCAAUGAAACAACCCAAGUGCAAAACAGCAAAGAUCAACCCUUGUACCUCUUGCAUCAUGAUUCAGCAAGAACAACCAAGCAAAGCGAACUUAAGCUUGCCACCCCGAAACCCAAGCGAGCUACUCACAGGCAGCUAUGCACUGAGCGAACCCGUCUCUGUCGCAAAAGAGUGGGAUGACUUGUUAGUAGAGGUGAAAAGCCAAUCGAGCUGGGUGAUAGCUGGUUGCCUGUUAAACGAAUCUAAGUUCUGCUCUGACUAGCUCCCCCCUGACCACCACCAAACAACCAUGAAGCCACUCAGAAGUAAUUUAAAGGGGGUACAGCCCCUUCAAAAUAGAACACAAUCUCCCCUAGCGGAUAACCACCCUCCUUCACUUUCCCCUGUUGACCUCUAAGCAGCCACCAACAAAGAGUGCGUCAAAGCUCCCACCCCAAAAAUACCUGAACAAUGUAAAUCCCUACACCCUAAACAGGCCAACCUAUAAUCCAAUAGGAGAAUUAAUGCUGAAAUAAGUAACUAAGGGGCCCUCCCCCUCAAGGCGUAAACUUACACCUCCCCAUUAUUACUCAGAACGACAAAUACCCCCACCCCCCCACAAGACACCAUAUUCCCUCGCCCUGUUAAACCAACUCAGGAACGCCCCCAUGAAAGAUUCAAAUUUACAGAAGGAACUAGGCAAACUCGGAGCCCGACUGUUUACCAAAAACAUAGCCUUCAGCCCUCCAAGUAUUGAAGGUGAUGCCUGCCCAGUGACAUGUUCAACGGCCGCGGUAUCCUAACCGUGCAAAGGUAGCGCAAUCAAUUGUCUCAUAAAUCGAGACCUGUAUGAACGGCUAAACGAGGUCCCAACUGUCUCCUGUAAACAAUCAGUGAAAUUGAUCCCCCCGUGCAAAAGCGGGGAUAAAGACAUAAGACGAGAAGACCCUGUGGAACUUCAAAAUCAAUGGCCACAAUAUACUACAACCCCCAAACCUACCAGGCCCACCACUUACACCCCCCAAUGCUGGCCCAUAUUUUUCGGCUGGGGCGGCCCUGGAGAAAAACAAACCCUCCAGAAACAAGACCACCCAUCUUAACUAAGAGCAACCCCUCGACGUACUAACAGUUCCCAGACCCAGUACAACUGAACAAUGGACCAAGCUACCCCAGGGAUAACAGCGCAAUCCCCUCCAAGAGCCCAUAUCGACAAGGGGGUUUACGACCUCGAUGUUGGAUCAGGACAUCCUAAUGGUGCAGCCGCUAUUAAGGGUUCGUUUGUUCAACGAUUAAUAGUCCUACGUGAUCUGAGUUCAGACCGGAGCAAUCCAGGUCGGUUUCUAUCUAUGACAGAUUUUUCCUAGUACGAAAGGACCGGAAAGAUGAGGCCCAUACCCCAAGCACGCCUCCCCCUCAAGUAAAGAACACAACUAAACCCAACAUAAAGGGCUUACAACCACCCAUCCUAAAAAAGGACA
rnacentral:rRNA from 1 species